rnacentral:lncRNA from 1 species
UAAUUUAUGCAAAAUGUCAGCUCUAAUUUUAACCUAAUUUUUCCCUCCAGACUUUUACAUUUAAUGUUUAUCUAAGGUAAAAUAAUAACCUUAGAUAAUCACGGCAUAAAAAAAAAUUCUUCGAAAGAAAAGAUGUUAAAACAACGGAACAUUGUGAUUCAUCAUAAAAUAUGUAUGGGCUGAUUUAGAGAUCAUAUAAUCAGUUUAUGAGAUUAGGAAUUGACAUAAUAUUUAGG